AUUCUACUCCCUCCGUUGCACAAUACAUGCCUUCUAUUUGUCAAAAUAUAUAUGUAUCUAGACAUGUUUUAGUAUAUAGGCACAUCCAUUUUUGGACAAAUGGAAGUCAAGUAUUUUGGAAAGGAGGGAGUACACA
rnacentral:pre_miRNA from 1 species